UGGGGAAUAUUGGACAAUGGGCGCAAGCCUGAUCCAGCCAUGCCGCGUGAGUGAUGAAGGCCCUAGGGUUGUAAAGCUCUUUCACCGGUGAAGAUAAUGACGGUAACCGGAGAAGAAGCCCCGGCUAACUUCGUGCCAGCAGCCGCGGUAAUACGAAGGGGGCUAGCGUUGUUCGGAUUUACUGGGCGUAAAGCGCACGUAGGCGGACUAUUAAGUCAGGGGUGAAAUCCCGGGGCUCAACCCCGGAACUGCCUUUGAUACUGGUAGUCUUGAGAUCGAGAGAGGUGAGUGGAAUUCCGAGUGUAGAGGUGAAAUUCGUAGAUAUUCGGAGGAAAACCAGUGGCGAAGGCGGCUCACUGGCUCGAUACUGACGCUGAGGUGCGAAAGCGUGGGGAGCAAACAGG
rnacentral:rRNA from 1 species